UACGUAGGGGGCAAGCGUUGUCCGGAAUUAUUGGGCGUAAAGGGCACGCAGGCGGUUCCUUAAGUCUGAUGUGAAAGCCCACGGCUCAACCGUGGAAGGUCAUUGGAAACUGAGGAACUUGAGUGCAGAAGAGGAGAGCGGAAGUCCACGUGUAGCGGUGAAAUGCGUAGAUAUGUGGAGGAACACCAGUGGCGAAGGCGGCUCUCUGGUCUGUAACUGACGCUGAGGUGCGAAAGCGUGGGGAGCGAACAGG
rnacentral:rRNA from 1 species